CAGCUCUCAGUUGACAUUUGCUAACAGGACAGAAAUCGUACAGUGAUCCAUAUGACAGAUUUGGACUUACGAGUGCUCACGGUGUGGAAUGUGGGCGGUCAGAGAGAAGCACCUGGGCUUUCUGCUGCACCAAGAGGAAUGUGCCUGGGGCGCUCAGGUAGAUGCCUUUAUAGAAGUACACUUACUACAUUAAGAAAAUAACUCUGCAUUUGUGGUUUUGUUUUUUUUUUUUUAAUUGCUCACCAUGCACACGUGCACAGACACACAAGCACUCAUUCUUGCCGACGGGGCACAUGAAGAAAGCAAGAUGCCAUUACUUCAGCACCAGCGAACUGGAAUUGUCAGUCAAGUACAAACAGAGUUCUAUUUGAAAAAAAAUCGACCACUGCCUCUGCUUCCCCCUCUCCUUUCCACUCCCUUAAUUACGGCGACAGCUACAUGGGAGAAGAAGGAAACACAGCAAAGUAAGAAGUGGACUGGACUAGGAUCAGAUUUGAAUAUGGUUCUUAGUUUUUCCUCUACACUUUGGGCCAGUCACUUCACCUCCCUUCGUGCCUGCCUCAUUCCUCCUUUGCCUUGUCUGCUGCCUACAUACCAACCGUUCAGGUCGGGGACUGCCUUGCUAAACAUUAAUACAGCACCUAACCACCUCCAGGCCUGAAUCGUAUGCAUCUAAUUUGGCUAAACAGUUGGUCUAAGAUCUCAUCUCUGGAAAAGGACAUACGAAGAAGAGGAGGCCCAUGACUUUUUAGGGCAAGUC
rnacentral:lncRNA from 1 species